rnacentral:rRNA from 1 species
UACGGGGGGGGCAAGCGUUGUUCGGAAUUACUGGGCGUAAAGGGCUCGUAGGCGGCCAACUAAGUCAGACGUGAAAUCCCCAGGCUCAACCUGGGAACUGCGUCUGAUACUGGUUGGCUUGAAUCCGGGAGAGGGAUGCAGAAUUCCAGGUGUAGCGGUGAAAUGCGUAGAUAUCUGGAGGAACACCGGUGGCGAAGGCGGCAUCCUGGACCGACACUGACACUGAGGAGCGAAAGCCAGGGGAGCAAACGGG